CCAACGGCCCUCCUUAGGGCCACACAUCUUCUUAAAACUUGGAACU
rfam:Steinernema glaseri strain NC unplaced genomic scaffold GLAS_5041, whole genome shotgun sequence.